rnacentral:rRNA from 1 species
AGGAUGAAUGCUGGCGGCGCGCCUAACACAUGCAAGUCGAGCGGUAAGGCCCUUAGGGGUACACGAGCGGCGGACGGCUGAGUAACGCGUGGGAACAUGCCCCAAAGUGAGGAAUAACUGCCCGAAAAGGGUAGCUAAUGCCGCAUAUGAUCUUAGGAUUAAAGGAUUUAUCCGCUUUGGGAGUGGCCUGCGUACGAUUAGAUAGUUGGUGAGGUAAAGGCUCACCAAGUCUACGAUCGUUAACUGUUCUGAGAGGAUGAUCAGUCAGACUGGAACUGAGACACGGUCCAGACUCCUACGGGAGGCAGCAGUGAGGAAUCUUCCACAAUGGGCGAAAGCCUGAUGGAGCGACGCCGCGUGCAGGAUGAAGGCCUUAGGGUUGUAAACUGCUUUAUAAGUGAAGAAUAUGACGGUAACUUAUGAAUAAGCACCGGCUAACUACGCGCCAGCAGCCGC